UGGAGCAAUGACAGUACAGGAAAUGUUCUCCACCGCAUCGACUGCACUGCUCAACUGAGGGGCGGCAAAGAGAAAAGAACCUUCAGCUAUCUACUGGAACUUCAGAGAGGAACACAUACUUGUCUGCACUCCCUUCAACAGUCCACCAGCUGACCUGUAGCAGAUACUGCUCUAGAUGACCUGGUGCCUAAUCAACUGGAGGAUAUGUUCUGUCCCACUACAUGUCCCUUCUCUGGGGAUGCUACGGCUAACUGUGUGCCACCCUGUCAAACUCCAGGGGGCACUUACAGCACUCACAUGAGCCAGAUUAUAUCUGGGCAGCAUGGCACAACACUACAUUCAGU